GAUGAACGCUGGCGGCGUGCUUAACACAUGCAAGUCGAGCGAGAAACUACAUGCAGACACUUCGGUAGAAGCGAGUAGCGGAAAGCGGCGGACGGGUGAGUAACGCGUAGGCAACCUGCCCUUCACAGAGGUAUAGCCUCGGGAAACCGGGAUUAAAACCACAUAAAAUCAUAGGUUCGCAUGAACCAAAGGUCAAAGAUUUAUCGGUGAAGGAUGGGCCUGCGUCUGAUUAGCUGGUUGGUAGGGUAAAAGCCUACCAAGGCGACGAUCAGUAGCCGACCUGAGAGGGUGAUCGGCCACAUUGGAACUGAGACACGGUCCAAACUCCUACGGGAGGCAGCAGUGGGGGAUAUUGCACAAUGGGGGAAACCCUGAUGCAGCAACGCCGCGUGAGGUAUGAAGGCCUUUGGGUUGUAAGCCUCUGUCCUAGGGGAAGAAAAAAAUGACGUACCCGAGGAGGAGCCCCG
rnacentral:rRNA from 1 species